rnacentral:rRNA from 1 species
GAUGAACGCUGACAGAAUGCUUAACACAUGCAAGUCAACUUGAACUUCGGUUUGGGUGGCGGUCGGGUGAGUAACGCGUACGGAACUUGCCCCCCAGCUAGGGACAACAUUUGGAAACGAAUGCUAAUACCUGAUAUUAUGUUUUUAGGGCAUCCUAGAAUUAUGAAAGCUAUAGGCGCUGUGAGAGAGCUUUGCGUCCCCUUAGCUAGUUGGAGAGGUAACGGCUCACCAAGGCGAUGAUGGGUAGCCGGCCUGGAAGGGUGAACCGCCACACGGGGACGGGGGCGCGGCCCUUACUCCAUCGGGAGGCAGGGGUGAGAAAUUUUGGAAGAUGGGCCAAGAGUGUGAUCCAGCUAUUCUGAGUGCAAAAUGAAGUUUUUCGGAAUGUAAAAAGGUUUCAGUAAGGAAGAAAAAAAUGACGGUACCAACAGAGAAAGUGACGGCUAAAUACGUG